rnacentral:rRNA from 1 species
UACGUAGGGUGCGAGCGUUGUCCGGAAUUAUUGGGCGUAAAGAGCUUGUAGGCGGUUUGUCGCGUCUGCUGUGAAAAUCCGGGACUCAAUUCCGGACUUGCAGUGGGUACGGGCAGACUAGAGUACGGUAGGGGAGACUGGAAUUCCUGGUGUAGCGGUGAAAUGCGCAGAUAUCAGGAGGAACACCGAUGGCGAAGGCAGGUCUCUGGGCCGUAACUGACGCUGAGAAGCGAAAGCAUGGGGAGCGAACAGGAUUAGAUACCCUGGUAGUCCAUGCCGUAAACGUUGGGCGCUAGGUGUGGGGCUCAUUCCACGAGCUCUGUGCCGCAGCUAACGCAUUAAGCGCCCCGCCUGGGGAGUACGGCCGCAAGGCUAAA